ensembl:lncRNA
CAAAUCGACAUAGUGUUCGGGAGAUUUGGAGUCAACCAUCAGCGGAGCGGGGGGGUGGCUUACUGGGCUUAAGCCCGGGUCAUUUUUUCAGAAGCAUGGGGCACCGUCGUAAAUUCCCCCUAAUUUUGGUAUGAUCCGAGCUCAGGCACUAGGUGACUGAGCACAGCACGCAUGUGAGCGAGGGGGGAGAAGCUGCUGCCUGCGAGUUUGCUGCAGACAGAGGACAGCUUAAGUUUGACCAGGUACCAAAGCAAAUCAUUCGUACUGAACUAAUAAUGUAAAUAUGACGGUGUAUCACAAAAGAUUGAUAUCAAACUGAUCAGUUGGUUGCGUUACUUGCUCUUCGAGUGAAUCAACAAAUGGAUAAAUAAAAAGCCGAACAACAAUGCUGAUUUUUUAGAGAGUCUUAGCUUACAUUUCAUAUUUUCAGUUGUUACCCUCCACGGCUAAACAAACUCUAAAUCGGUUUCAAUUGUGUACUGAUGAACACAACAAUGGACAUAAGAAGCUUCUUUCAAAGAAAAAACUCAGCACAGAGAGGGAGAGAGAGGGAGAGAGAGGAACAGAGAGGGAGAGAGAGGAGCAGAGAGGGAGAGAGAGGAACAGAGAGGGAGAUGGAGAAUGAGGACAGAACAGAGGUGGAACAAGAGCAGGUGAGACACACAUGUUAGUCAAAUGGUUGUUUGCCAAAAC